AUGGGGCAACAGUGGCAGCUACCCCAUGCCACAGCCUCCCAGCCCUGGAGCUUCCUGCUCCUCCUUACAGCAGCUCAAGAAGCAGUCUUACAUGUGUCUAAAAAUGGCACAUCCAAGGGCUACUGCAUGCUUUAUAACCCUCAUUGGAUAACUUUUCUAAGUACCCUAGAAAAUGCAGCUUCCAUUAGUUUGAUGAGUCUGACUUCCACACCACUAUGCAGCCCUUCUGAUAUUCCUCCUGUUGGCAUAAAAAAACAAAGUAGAUGUGGUGCAAUGGGGAAGCUGCCAUUUUCCCAAAAUAGCCAGAAUUGCACAGAAAGGAGGUGCUGAAGCAAUGUUAGUUGUCAAAAGUGUCCUAUUUCCUCCCUCAGGUAACUGAUCUGAAUUUCCUCAUGCGAAAGUACUGAUUGCUUUUAUAAGCCAGAAAGUCUGUAAAGAUAUGAAGCAGACUCUAGGAAAUAACAUUAAUGUGAAAAUGUAUUCUCCAUCGUGGCCUUUGAUCAUACUAUGGUGGUCAUUAUUGUAAUUGCUGUGUUCACUGUGGCGUUAGUUAGAUAAUGGAGUGGACUAGUUGAAUUGGAAAACUUGAAAGCAGUGACAAUUGAAGAUAGAGAAAUGAGAAAAAAGAUGGAAGAAUAUCUUUUAGUCCUCUUACAGUUUUAAUCUUUGUGGUCACCUGCUCUUGUUAUGAUGGUCUUUAAUUCUUCUGCAAAUGAUUGGUUUAUGUUAUGAUAGCAAUUUUCUGCAUAGCAUCAGCAAUGAGUAUGUACAACUGUCUUGUCUGCACUAAUUCAUAAGAUACCAUAUAGGCAGGUUUUUUGGUGAGGGAAGAAGAUGGCACUGUAGGACUAACUCAGGAUUGCAGCUCCCAGUGAAAGCACAGAGGGUGAGUGGAUGCUGCAUUUCCAGAUGCAUCUUUAUUGCCCACAGACCAGGAGAUUUUCAGGUGUAGGAGCUCCACGGGCCGCCAGCACAGCUGUUUGGGCUGGUAUGGCUGUUUGGGCUGGGGCCGCAGUGCAGUGGCACUUCGUACAAAAUACACUGGUUGGGUUGCCCUGUUAAACUGGCAAUUGGAUAUUUCAGAAGGCAGAUUAGCACAUUCAUCUGAUUAAAGAAGACUUGAAGAGAAAGGCAGGCCAGGAGAUUCCUGGGCCACAACGUUGUUUCAGCCGGCGCAGUGGGUCGCUGCAUGGGAAAUCACACAGAUCCUGGCACCUUUCACCUGGCAACUGGAACGUCUCGGAGAGAGUCAACCAUUCAACUUAAAAAAAAAGGGGCUCUGAGGCAGGGAGCCAGGUGAUCAGGCUCGGCGGGUCCCACCCCCACAAAAACAAACAAAACAGCAAUUGGAAACACUCUGGGUUAAGAGGUUUACAGCAAGCAUAGCUGAACCCAGGAUGAUGCAGCUCAGUAGAGGAGGGGCAUCUGCCAUUACUGAGGCACUCAACCCCUACAGAGGUACUCUACCAUUGCUGACGCAGCCUGCCAUUGCCGAGGCACCCCACCAUUGCCAAGGCAACCCGCCAUAACAGAGAGAGUCUGCCACUACAGAGGCGGGCCACCAUCACCACAGCAGUUCUAACCACACCCAUUUAAACAGGACAACAGGACACAUGGCAGCAGGGCAGAGCCCACAAAAGCAGGGCAGAGCCCACGGCAGUAGGGCAGAGCCCACGACAGCAGGGUGGAGCCCACGGCAACAGGGCAAAGCCCACAGCAGCUCACCAUAGCCACUACAGGCAGGCAGUGAUUAGACUGCCUCCUUGCUGGGCAGGACAGUGCAACGGUCACUCAUAAAUAAAGCCCUAAUUCCCCGGGACAGAGCACCUGAGGAAAAAAAGGGGCUCUAUGAGUUCUGCUGCAGCAGACUUAAAUGUACCUGCCUAGCAGCCCCGAAUGAACAACGGAGCUCACAGCUCAGCACUUGAGCUCCUAUAAAGUAAAGACUGUCUCUUCAUUUAUAAAGUACAGUCUCCUCAAGCAGCUCCCUCACCCCGUAGAUCCAAAGAGUCACCUCACAAAGGACUGAUCAGACUGACAUUUGGUGGGCAUCAUUCAUGGACAAAGAUAGCGGAAGAAGAAAUGGGUACCAACCCUCACGGUUCCACAGCUGUUACAGGUGUACCCCGGAAAAGCAAGGCCUGGAGUGGUCCUCAGCAGUCCUAAGGCAGAAGGGCCAGACUGUUAGAAAAAAAACUAAGAAACAGAAAUCCUUCAUCAUCAACAAUCUGGAUGUCCACUCAGAGACACAAUCAAAAAUUCAGCAACUACUCAGACGACAGGUGGAUAAAUCCACAAAGAUGGGAAGAAACAAGGACAAAAAAAGGAAAACACCUGAAACCAGACAACCUCGUCUCCUACAAGGGACCACAACUCCUCACUAGCAAAGGAACAAAGCUGGACAGAGAAUGAGUGUGAUGAAACGACAGAAUCAGACUUCAGAAGGUGGGUAAUGAGAAACUUCUGUGAGCUAAAACAACAUGUUCUAACUCAAUGCGAAGAAACUAAGAACCUUGAAAAAAGAUUUGAGGAAAUGAUAACAAGAAUGGACAACUUAGAGAGGAAUAUGAGUGAAUUGAAGGAGCUGAAAAACACAACACAAGAACUUCGCGAAGCAUGCACAAGUUUCAGCAGCCAAAUUGACCAAGCAGAAGAAAGGAUAUCAGAAGUCAAAGAUCAACUCAAUGAAAUCAAAUGAGAAGCCAGGAUUAGAGAAAAAAAACACAAAAAAGAAUGAACAAAGUCUCCAAGAACUGUGGGACUAUGUGAAGAGACCUAAUCUACGUUUGAUAGGUGUACCUGAAUGUGAUGAAGAGAAUGAAUCCAAGCUUGAAAAUACUCUUCAGGAUAUUAUCCGGGAAAAUUUCCCCAACCUAGGAAGGCAGGCCUAUAUUCAAGUCCAGGAAAUACAGAGAACACCACGAAGAUAUUCCGCAAGAAGCACAACCACAAGGCACAUAAUCGUCAGAUUCAUCAAGGUCGAAAUGAAGGUGAAAAUGCUAAGGGCAGCCAGAGAGAAAGGUCGGGUCACCCACAAAGGGAAGCCCAUUAGACUCACAGCAGAUCUCUGGGCAGAAACCCUACAAGCCAGAAGAGAGUGGGGGCCAAUAUUCAACAUCCUUAAAGAAAAGAACUUUCAACCCAGAAUUUCAUAUCCAGCCAAACUGAGUUUUAUAAGUGAAGAAAAAAUAAAAUCCUUUGUGAACAAGCAAGUACUCAGAGAUUUUUGUCACCACCAGGCCUGCUUUACAAGAGCUCCUGAAAGAGGCACUACACAUAGACAGGAACAACCAGUACCAGCCACUCCAAAAACAUACUGAAUGCUAAAGAGCAUCAACAAAAUGAAGAAUCUGCAUCAACGAAUGGGCAAAACAGUCAGCUAGCAUCAAAAUGGCAGUAUCAAAUUUACACAUAACAAUAUUAACCCUAAAUGUAAAUGGGCUAAAUGCACCAAUCAAAAGACUCAGACUGGCAAAUUGGAUAAAAAGCCAAAACCCAUCUGUGUACUGUAUCCAGGAAACACAUCUCACAUGCAAGGAUACACAAGGCUCAAAAUAAAGGGAUGGAGGAAGAUUUACCGAGCAAAUGGAGAGCAAAAGAAAGCAGGAGCUGCAAUUCUCAUCUCUGAUAAAAUAGACUUUAAAGCAACAAAGAUCAAAAGAGACAAAGAAGGACAUUACAUAAUGGUAAAAAAAUCGAUACAACAAGAAGAGCUAACGAUCCUAAAUAUAUAUGGACCCAAUACAGGAGCACCCAGAUAGAUAAGGCAAGUUCUUAAUGACUUACAAAGAGAUUUAGACUCCCACACAAUAAUAGUGGGAGACUUUAACACUCCACUGUCAAUAUUAGACAGAUAGACCAGACAAAAAAUUAACAAGGAUAUCCAGGACUUGAACUCAGACCUGGAAUAAGCAAACCUGAUAGACAUUUACAGAACUCUCCACCCCAAAUCCACAGAACAUACAUUCUUCUCAGCACCACAUCACACCUACUCUAAAAUUGACCACAUAAUUGGAAGGAAAUCACUCCUCAGCAAAUGCAAAACAACUGAAAUCAUAACAAACAGUCUCUUAGACCAUAGUGCAAUCAAGUUAGAACUCAGAAUUCAGAAACCAACCCAGAACUGCACAGCUUCAUGGAAACUGAACAACUAGCUCUUGAAUUUUGACUGGAUAAACAAUAAAUGAAGGCAGAAAUAAAGAAGUUCUUUGAAACCAACGAGAACAAAGACACAACAUACCAGAAUCUCUGGGACACAUUUAAAGCAGUCUCCUGAGGAAAAUAUAUAGCAAUAAGUGCCCACAUGAGAAGAGUGGAGAGAUCCAAAAUUGACACCAUAUCAUCAAAAUUGAAAGAGCUGGAGGAGCAAGAUCAAGAAAACUCAACACCUAGCAGAAGACAAGAAAUAACUAAGAUCAGAGCAGAACUGAAAGAGACAGAGACACGAAAAACCCUUCAAAAAAUCAAUAAAUCCAGGAGCUGGUUUUUUGAAAAGAUCAACCAAAUAGACAGACCACUAGCCAGAUUGAUAAAAAAAGAAAAGAGAGAAUAACCGAAUAGAUGCAAUAAAAAAUGAUAAAGGGGAAAUCACCACAGAUUCCACAGAAAUUCAAACCGUCAUCAGAAAAUAUUACAAACAACUCUAUGCACAUAAACUAGUAAACCUGGGAGAAACGGAUAAAUUCCUGGACUCCUGUGACCUCCCAAGCCUAAACCAGGAGGAAGCCAAAACUAUUAACAGACCAAUAACAAGGUCUGAAGUUGAGGGAGAAAUUAAGAGCCUACCACACAAGAAAAGCCCAGUUCCAGAUCAGUUCACAGCUGAAUUCUACCAGACACACAAAGAGGAGCUGGUACCAUUCCUUCUGAAACUAUUCCAAAUAAUCCAAAAAGAGGGAAUCCUUCUCAAAUCAUUUUAUGAGACCAACAUCAUCCGGAUACCAAAACCCAGCAGAGACUCAACAAGAAAAGAAAACUUCAGGCCAAUAUCCAUGAUGAACAUAGAUGCAAAAAUCUUCAAUAAAAUACUGGCAAGCUGAUUGCAACAUCACAUCAAAAAGCUUAUCUACCAUGAUCAAGUAGGAUUCAUCCCAGGGAUGCAAGGCUGGUUCAACAUACACAACUCUAUAAACGUAAUUCACCACAUAAACAGAACAAAAAACAAAAACCACAUAAUUAUCUCAAUUGAUGCAGAGAAGGCCUUUGACAAAAUUCAAUAGCCCUUUAUGCUAAAAACCCUCAAUAAAUUCGGUAUUGAUAGAAUGUAUCUCUAAAUAAUAAAAGCUGUUUAUGACAAACCAACAGCCAAUAUCAUACUGAAUGGGCAAAAACUGGAAGCAUUCCCUUUGAAAUCUGGCACUACACAAGGAUGCCCUCUCUCACCACUCCUAUUCAAUAUAGUACUGGAAGUUCUAGCCAGAGCAAUCAGGCAAGAAAAAGAAGUAAAGGGUAUUCAAAUAGCAAAGGAGGAAGCCAAAUUGUCUCUAUUUGCAGAUGACAUGAUAGUAUAUCUAGAAGACCCCAUCGUCUCAGCCCAAAAACUCCUGAAACUGAUAAGCAACUUCAGCAAAGUCUCAGGAUAUAAAAUCAAUGUGCAAAAAUCACAAGCAUUGCUAUACACCAAUAACAGACUUAAAGAGAGCCAAACCAAGAAUGAACUGCCAUUCACAAUUGCUACAAAGAGAAUAAAAUACCUAGGAAUACAACUAACAAGAAACAUAAGGGACCUCUUCAAGGAGAACUACAAACCACUGCUCAACAAAAGAAGAGAGGACACAAAUAGAUGGAGAAACAUUCCAUGUUCAUGGUUAGGAAGAAUCAAUAUAGUGAAAAUGGCCAUACUGCCCAAAGUAAUUUACAGACUCAACACUAUCCCCAUCAAGGUACCAUUGACUUUCUUCACAGAACUGGAAAAAACCCACCUUGAACUUCAUAUGGAAGCAAAAGAGAGCCCGCAUAGCCAAGUCAAUUCUAAGCAAAAAGAAUACAGCAGGAGGCAUCAUACUAUCAGAUUUCAAACUAUACUACAAGGCUACAUUAUCAAAACAGCAUGGUACUGGUACCAAAACAGAAAUAUAGACCAAUGGAACAGAACAGAGGCAUCAGAGGCAACACAACAUAUCUACAACCAUACAGUCUUUGGUAAACAUGACAAAAACAAGCAAUGAGGAAAGAUUCCCUGUAUAAUAAAUGGUGUUUGGAAAACUGGCUAGCCAUGUGCAGAAAGCAGAAACUCUACCGCUUCCUGACACCUUACACUAAAAUUAACUCCAGAUGGAUUAAAGACUUAAACAUAAGACCGAACACCAUAAAAACCCGAGAAGGAAAUCUAGGCAAAACCAUUCAGGACAUAGGAGUAGGCAAGGACUUCAUGAACAAAACACCAAAAGCAUUGGCAACAAAAGCCAUAAUAGACAAAUGGGUCCUAAUCAAACUCCACAGCUUCUGCACGGCAAAAGAUACAGUCACUAGAGUGAAUCAGCAACCAAGAGAAUGGGAAACAAUUUUUGCAAUUUACCCAUCUGACAAAGGGCUGAUAUCCUGAAUUUACAAAGAACUCAAACAGAUUUACAAGAAAAAAACCAACAAGCCCAUUCAAAAAUGGGCAAAGGAUAUGAACAAACACUUUACAAAAGAAGACAUACAUGAGGCCAACAAUCAUAUGAAAAAAUGCUCAUCAUCACUGGUCAUCAGAGAAAUGCAAAUCAAAACUACAUUGAGAAAGCAUCUCAUGCCAGUUAGAAUGGCAAUCAUUAAAAAAUCUGGAGACAGAUGCUGGAGAGGAUGUGGAGAAAUAGGAACACUUUUACACUGCUGGUGGGAGUGUAAAUUAGUUCAACCAUUGUGGAAGAUAGUGUGGCAAUUCCUCAAGGACCUAGAAAUAGAAAUUCCAUUUGACCCAGCUAUCCCAUUACUGGGUAUAUAUCCAAGGGACUAUAAAUCAUUCUACUAUAAGGACACAUGCACAUGAAUGUUCAUUGCAGCACUGUUUACAAUAGCAAAGACCUGGAACCAACCCAAAUGCACAUCGAUAGACUGGACUGGGAAAAUGUGGCACAUAUACACCAUGGAAUAUUAUACAGCAAUCAAAAACGAUGAGUUCGUUUCGUUUGUAGGGACAUGGAUGAAUGUGGAGAACAUCAUUCUCAGCAAACUGACACAAGAACAGAAAAUGAAAUACUGCAUAUUCUCACUCAUAGGUGCGUGAUGAACAAUGAGAACCCAUGGACACAGGGAGGGGAGCACUACACACUGGGGUCUAUUGGCAGGAAUAGGGGAAGGACAGCGUGGAGGGGAGCUGGGGAGGGAUAGCAUAGGGAGAAAUGCCAAAUGUGGGUGAAGGGGAGGAAGACAGCAGGUCACACUGCCACAUGUGUACCUAUGCAACUAUCUUGUAUGUUCUGCACAUGUACCCCAAAACCUAAAAUGCAAUUUAAAAAAAAGAUACCAUAUAGGCAAUGCACAAUUGUGUGUUGUGGCAAAAGCAUGGAAGUGAGACUUAUUUUUCUCUCUGGAGUACGCAAAAUGAUAGCUAUUGUUUGGGCUGUAUUUCGAAAUGAAGACAGGUGGGCUUGGAUUUUACAGGAUAUCGAUAUCUUGAAGAUUGCUUUCUGUCUGAAUUUGAUUAAAACACUGAAAUCGCCCAACUUCAAGUCAUGCAUGAUACUUCUAGGCCUUCUCCUCUUCUAUAAUGUAUUUAUUGUUGUAACACCAUUCAUCACUAAGAAUGGUGAGAGUAUCAUUGUUGAACUUGCAGCUGGACAUUUUGGAAAUAAUGGAAAAUUGCCAGUAGUCAACAGAGUACCAAAGCUGAUCUAUUUCUCAGUAAUGAAUGUGUGCCUCAUGCCUUUUUCAAUGUUGGGUUUUAGAGACAAUCCUGUACCAGGCCUGUUGAAUGGGUACUGUAGAAGAGUUGAUGUUCAGACUGGUUCUUUAUAUAUAUAGUAUGUUAUUAUGCUAGUUGCUAAUGCUAUUAGCAUGAUACUUACAUUUGUUGUUCUGGUGCUGAUGAAAAAGGGGCAACCUGGUCUCCUCUAUUUAGUACUUUGCACUCUUAUUACUGCCUCAGUUGUUGCAUGGAGCAUUUUAAUUAUUUAUGAUGUAACUAAGUAGCAGCCUCGUUGGCAUAGCAAGACCCGUCUCAAAGAAAUAUAAAUAUAUAUGUAAUAUAAUAUAAAAUAAAUAACUUUAUACAUUUCCUGGAAGAAAGGUACUGUAAAGUCAAAAGAUCUGAAUCAAAUUACUCAACCUUUUGGACUUUGAUUCUCUACUGUAAUACUCAUAUGUGAGAUUACUGAAUUUUCAGUUAAAAAAUUAUUAACAGGAUAAUAUAUAGGCCAUAUUAUAGUGAAGAUCAUAGCCUAUGUAUUAAAAAACAGUGUUCAUUUGGAGAAAAACUAUUUUGAAAACUAAAUUUUUAUAGUAAUCCUCUAUUACUUGCAAUUAAGGAGCAACCAAACAAAGUAGAAUAUUUAAUGUAUACAUUGUAGAAUGACUGAAUCAAGCUAAUUAACAUAUUCAUCACCUUAAACACUUAUAAUUUAUCACUCCUAACUGAAAUUUUGUACUCUUUAACCAAAACCUCACCAUUCCUUAACCCCACAGGUAAUAUUUCUAUUGAUAAGGAGUGAUUUGCCAAAAUCACAAAAGGGAGGAUGACAUUAUUUUCCAUGUGUAAGGAUUCACAUUUAAACACUGAGUAGAUUGGAGUAUGUAUGGAGAGGACUGGAGGGAGUCAAUGAAAUUUCAUAUCACGGAAGUGCUUGGGUCUUCUGACAUGAUCUUAAAUGUAUAUUUUUAAGGAUAAUAAACUAUUAGUUAAUCUAUACUAAUUCAUUAGUGAAAUUUUUAAUAUAAUUUUUAAAUGAUCUUUGGAGGUUUUUUACACUUGAUUACUUAAUAUUUGAAUUAUGAGUAAAACAGAAGACAAACUUUGAUUUAUAGGAUUUAGAGUUGAAUGCAUGGUGUAUCUUUAAACUGCAGACUCUUGGAUAAAAUAUAUUUAGAGCUCCUCAUUCUCCCUUCAUACUUUGUCUGUAUUUUUAUAAGCUACCUCAAGCCCUUUAUGUGUUGAGACUAAAAAAUCAUACCCACAAAUUUAAUAAUUUUUUAAUAUGCAAAAUGCUAAUUAUUUUAAAAAUUGAAAACUCAGAGCCAAAAUGUUGCUGUAGUCUGUGUGGUCUUGUUAAAAAGAAGCCCUAUCUGUAUUUCUAACAUGAGUUUUAAACGUUCAUAUUUUGUUGCAGUUUAGAAAAAUCUGAACUCAAUGCAGUGUCAUAAUGAGUACAUUAUGUUACUAUUAACACAUGCUCCCACUAUCACACAUGCAUAUACAGACUUUUUAAACAUGUAAAUGGUGCCCAGGAAUGAAUUGUUUAAACCCAGCUAUUGAAAAUAAUGUGGAUAUAGCAGCAUUUAUACUAGCAUAAAAGUAAAACCUAUACAAAGAAAUAAUCUAUUAUGAAUCAUCUGUGAUGUGGGAGAAGAAAAUUGUCAACAGUGAAAAAAACAAAGAAUUCUGAGACUCCAGAAGCAUCACCCACUCUGUAUUCUUUUUACCAUUAUUUAUAAUGAUUUUUAAUAAUCUUCAUCACAUGAACACACAUAGAUAUUUUUCUCAUUAACCAAUAUAUGAAUAGCAAUUUGUAAGUUAUUACUAAAGUGACUAUCAAUUGUAUUUUUUACUUCAAGUCAAUGACUACUUAAUUAAUAUAUGGUAAGAACCUGUUAAUACAGUCACAUUUUUAAAAGGAUUAAUUAGCUGAUAGACAAAUAUCUGAAAAAACAGCUAAUCCAGAACCCUCCCAUCUAGUAAUUUUUCCAAUAUAUACAAGGUAAAACAUCUUUUUCCUCAGUCCUUCUGAAAUACUCUGGGUGAAGUGAAUAGACAAGCCUAUACUACAAGAAAGUUUAUUCCAUUAUUUAUGAUAACUUACCAAAAAUUUAACCCUUAUUUUCCUUCAAAAAUUGGGUAUCAAUGUCAUAAAGUUAUCUGUUAAUGAGAUUUUUCAGAUAAUGAAAGCAGGUGUUAACUUGAUGAAAUGUGAGAUAUUUUAAAAAUACAUUUUCAUUCAAAACAUAUAGGCCUAAAAGUCCUGUGGUACCAUAGAGAUAAAAGAUUUCCUCUGCCAAAAUAUGAUGGAGAAUUGACAUUUCCUCUAAUUGCCUGCAAAGAGGAAAAAUGCAGACACAGUGAUCCCAAACAGGAGAAAGAAGAGGGAAGAUAAAGAUAAGAGAGGAAACAUCAAACCCUUGAUUCCAUAGAAUAGGACUCUUCAGCAGUGUAGGAAAUAAUUGUAAUAUAAUUUGAGCCGAAAUUUAAGCCUCUUCUCCAUUCAUGUUAAGCGGAUGAAUUGGACAAAAUAAAUUUCAAGUCCCUAAGGUUUUGUUGGAGGAAUUUGACCUUUCACACAUCAGUGGCUGAAUUGGCAACUAUUUCAAUUUUUCCCUGAAAUGAUGAUGUUCUCAUUUAGUCAGCUCACCAUAGAACCAAGUUCUUCUGAAGCUACCCUAAGAGAAAGAAUGCUUAGACACUGUUUUUGCCUUUGUCUGCUGUUGACUCCCCUAAAAGACUACCAGAAUUACCUGUUGACCAAGCAAAGCUAGGUUUCAUACACUGAUUGCAGUAAGAACACCAAUGUAACAGAGCUUUAGGAAUGUCUCAAAACCGAGAAAUUCAAGGAUGAUAUUUAUGGGGUUUUAAGGCCUGAGGUAGGU